GUGCUUGCUUCGGCAGCACGUAUACUAAAAUUAGAACGAUACAGAGAAGAUUAGCAUGGCCCCUGAACAAGGAUGAUGUGCAAAUUCGUGAAGCGUUCGUAUUUUUG
ensembl:snRNA U6 U6 spliceosomal RNA